CUACUUGCAGGGGAAAUACCAUGAUCAUGAAGGUGGUUUUCUUAGGAUGAGCCUUGUUCAUUGCACUCUGGAUGUGCUCACCCCUGCAAUCCCCCCAAAUGUGGGAAACUGAGCUGCAUAAUUUGUGGUAGUGGGGGACUGUGUUCACACUUCCCCUG
ensembl:snRNA U1 U1 spliceosomal RNA